AUGAGAGAGUGUUAGGGUCCUAGUUCUUACUGGUGGAGAGCUGCUCCCCUGUUCCUGCUUCUGUGCGGGCAGAGGCAGGAGGUUGGCGGAGAGUGGACGGCUUCCUCACCGCCUCCUGAGCCACCAGCUGGUUUCCUGACUCUGUAGCAGAAGAGGAAGGGGAGGUUGGAGAGGAGUCAUUUCAGUAGACCACACAUGGCAGGCUAGUUGGACUGCAUGAGAGAGUUCUGCUCUGAAAGCCCUGGACAAAAACUAUCUAGCGUCCUGUGACUGCAAGGAGACAGGGAGCUUCUCUCUACCAGGUGACCUCACCAACACCACUGUCAGGGUGGGCUAGCAGAGCCAUGAUUGCAUGGAACUCCAUUCCAUCUAAGAUUGCUCAAGUGAACAGCAAACCUGGCUUUGAAAAACAGCUUCACAGCACUUCAACUCCUCUCCCAUAUUUGAAUACAUGAUUCUAUGUGUAUGUAUGUACUGAUAUGAAUGUAUAACUCAUAGUCUAGUGCUACUGAAUUGAGUCACUAUUGAGUCAGUACAGAACCUUUCAGUUAUAUUUUUAUUGUUUUAAUUAAUUUAGUUCUGUCCUUGAGCUAUUCUUGUCUAUUUUCUGUAUUAUGUCUGGUUUCAUACUUUGUGAGGACACCAGGAAGAGUAGCUACUGCUAUAGCAACAGCUAAUGGGGAUCCUAAUAAAAUACCAAAUACUAUACUGUAAACAUCCUACAGAAGUAGGAUCUUAAUUUGAGCCAGUAUGCUACAGCAAGGAAAUAAUCCUGCAACAAAACGAAAUGUGAAUUAUUAUGUGGAUUAUAAUUAAUGGAUACAUUUGUCUUAGGGCAAAUCAAGUCUGGCAUUUUAAAGGGAAAAUUACAAACUUUGGAAGCCUUUUUAUACCUACAAGUUUGCAUUUCCUGCUGUGCAGAAAGAUUCUCAGCAACAAAAGAGUGAUCAAAUGAUUUGUACACUGCAAUUGUAUCAAAUUCACACACAACAAAAGCUACACGUG